CAGUCGCCGCGGGAAUACAGAGGGUGCGAGCGUUAAUCGGAUUUACUGGGCGUAAAGCGUGCGUAGGCGGCUUCUUAAGUCGGAUGUGAAAUCCCUGAGCUUAACUUAGGAAUUGCAUUCGAUACUGAGAAGCUAGAGUAUGGGAGAGGAUGGUAGAAUUCCAGGUGUAGCGGUGAAAUGCGUAGAGAUCUGGAGGAAUACCGAUGGCGAAGGCAGCCAUCUGGCCUAAUACUGACGCUGAGGUACGAAAGCAUGGGGAGCAAACAGGAUUAGAUACCCCUGUAGUCCCUGUCUCUUAUAC
rnacentral:rRNA from 1 species